rnacentral:rRNA from 1 species
GAUGAACGCUGGCGGCGUGCUUAACACAUGCAAGUCGAACGGAAAGGCUCCUGCUUGCAGGGGUACUCGAGUGGCGAACGGGUGAGUAACACGUGGGUGAUCUGCCCUGCACUUCGGGAUAAGCCUGGGAAACUGGGUCUAAUACCGGAUAGGACCACAUUUUGGAUGGUGUGGUGGAAAGUUUUUCGGUGUGGGAUGAGCUCGCGGCCUAUCAGCUUGUUGGUGGGGUAAUGGCCUACCGAGGCGUCGACGGGUAGCCGGCCUGAGAGGGUGUACGGCCACAUUGGGACUGAGAUACGGCCCAGACUCCUACGGGAGGCAGCAGUGGGGAAUAUUGCACAAUGGGCGCAAGCCUGAGGGAGCGACGCCGCGUGGGGGAUGACGGCCUUCGUGUUGUAAACUCCUUUCGCUAGGGACGAAGCGUUUUUGUGACGGUACCUGGAGAAGAAGCACCGGCUAACUACGUG